rnacentral:rRNA from 1 species
UACGUAGGGUGCAAGCGUUAAUCGGAAUUACUGGGCGUAAAGCGUGCGCAGGCGGUGAUGUAAGACAGAUGUGAAAUCCCCGGGCUCAACCUGGGAACUGCAUUUGUGACUGCAUCGCUGGAGUGCGGCAGAGGGGGAUGGAAUUCCGGCGUGUAGCAGUGAAAUGCGUAGAUAUGCGGGAGGAACACCGAUGGCGAAGGCAAUCCCCCUGGGCCUGCACUGACGCUCAUGCACGAAAGCGUGGGGAGCAAACAGG